GGCAUUCAAUCUAUCAAUAUACUACAAAUUUACCUCACGUACGUUUGCCUAUCUUGAGGCGCCGUACCCCAGAAGGAAUUGACAACCCCUUUAACACGUCGGGUUGCGAGAAGUUGUUAUUUGUGUGCAGGUGUUGUUUACGUUGUGUUGCUUGGUUCUCCUACUGAUUCGAUAACCUUGGUUUCAUAUCUGAGGGAAAUACCUACCGCCGAUGUGCUGCAUCAUCACUUCCUCUUUGAGAAAAUACCGACGUAGCUUCAAGCGACAUCAUCCACCCUCCCCCGUUUGACCUCGCCGUCAACACUCGCCGCAGAUGCUCGCCAUCGACGCCUGCAAGAAAAAAAAGGUUGUAAAAAAGAGCUAUCUGCGGAGGCCCCCAUUGAAUCAUUUGAAAAAGGUGGUUCCAGCAAAACAAGGCACGGUUGUAGCAAAAAUUGUUGGUCCAUUAAAAGAACGAACUCCGAUGGAAGCAAUUUUUGGGGCUACUUCUAGCAAAAUAAAGAUAUGGUUGUAGCAAAAAUUUACUCGUCCAACAAGAACAAACUCCGAUGGAAGCAAUUUUUGGGACUACUUCUAGCAAAAUAAAGAUAUGGUUGUAGCAAAAAUUUGCUGGUCCAGCAAGAACAACUCUGAUGAAAGCAAUUUUUGGGGAUACUUCCAGCAGAACACUCCGCCAGUUCCAGCAAACCUGAUCCAUGGUUGCAGCAGCACCCAACCAAACUCUAGUCCAACUUGCCAUGGCGACCUCCGUGGCUCGUCGAGGUGAACCCCCACAGCUUUCCCCCAUCACUGGUUCCAGCAAAACCAGUAUGUGGUUGCAGCUCUCACCCCAGCCAGUUGUAGCAUCUGCGUGCUCCAUCGUCAAGCCUGCCGGUUGAGGUAGUAGCUCGCCGCUGAUGCCGGGGUGUAGUCACUGACGUGCUCGCCGUAAAUUCUCGCCGUCGGCGCCCUGAGCAGCGAGGAAACAGCUGUAGAUGGGAGGGAUGUCGGGGCUAUGGGGGAACGUCGCAGGGAGCGUG
rnacentral:lncRNA from 1 species